UAAAUGUACUGGGUAUAAAAUCUACUUAAAUGGUCAGCUUCAUCAAUAAGACAGUAGUGCUCACAUCGCCAACACUAUCGUCAAGAUCGUGGACACCCGUCAGAGUCAGGCGUACAGUAUAUAGACCAUAGGAUCGGGGGGACAGUGUUCUGACGUCGUGAAAACCGUCCAUAAUGUCCCGGAUGCAGGUGACCUUGAAGACCCAGAAGAAAACCCAUCAGCUGUCAGGAGUCACGAAGUGUACUCUUCUUCACCCAAACGUAUGUUUGCGGGAGUGUAUGACUUUGUACCAUAUCCUGGUAAACAUGGCCGACUUGAACUUCCAUUUCAGAGAGGGGAGGGAAUCCUUGUUUAUGGGGAGGA